ACUCCUACGGGAGGCAGCAGUAAGGAAUAUUGGUCAAUGGGCGCAAGCCUGAACCAGCCAUGCCGCGUGCAGGAAGACGGCCCUCCGGGUUGUAAACUGCUUUUAUACCGGAAUAAACCUCCCUACGUGUAGGGAUCUGAAUGUACGGUAGGAAUAAGGAUCGGCUAACUCCGUGCCAGCAGCCGCGGUAAUACGGAGGAUCCGAGCGUUAUCCGGAUUUAUUGGGUUUAAAGGGUGCGUAGGCGGCCUGUUAAGUCAGGGGUGAAAGACGGUGGCUCAACCAUCGCAGUGCCCUUGAUACUGACGGGCUUGAAUUAACUAGAGGGCAGGCGGAAUGUGACAAGUAGCGGUGAAAUGCAUAGAUAUGUCACAGAACACCGAUUGCGAAAGGCAGCUUGCUAUGGUUCUAUUGACGCUGAGGCACGAAAGCGUGGGGAUCAAACAGGAUUAGAUACCCCUGGUAGCGACUGA
rnacentral:rRNA from 1 species